AGUGAACGCUGGCGGCGUGCCUAAUACAUGCAAGUCGAACGAUGAAGUCCUAGCUUGCUAGGAUGGAUUAGUGGCGCACGGGUGAGUAAUAUAUAGUUAAUCUGCCCUACACAGAGGAACAACAGUUGGAAACGACUGCUAAUACCUCAUACUCCUAUUUGACAUAAGUUAAAUAGGGAAAGUCUUUUCGGUGUAGGAUGAGACUAUAUCGUAUCAGCUAGUUGGUAAGGUAAUGGCUUACCAAGGCUAUGACGCGUAACUGGUCUGAGAGGAUGAUCAGUCACAUUGGAACUGAGACACGGUCCAAACUCCUACGGGAGGCAGCAGUAAGGAAUAUUGCGCAAUGGGGGAAACCCUGACGCAGCAACGCCGCGUGGAGGAUGACACUUUUCGGAGCGUAAACUCCUUUUAUCAGGAAAGAAUAAUGACGGUACCUGAUGAAUAAGCACCGGCUAACUCCGUGCCAGCAGCCGCGGUAAUACGGGGGGUGCAAGCGUUACUCGGAAUUACUGGGCGUAAAGGGUGCGUAGGCGGUAAUAUAAGUUGGAGUUUUAAACCAUGGGCUCAACCCAUGUCAGGCUCCAAAACUGUAUAACUUGAGUACUGGAGAGGAAAGUGGAAUUCCUAGUGUAGCGGUGAAAUGCGUAGAUAUUAGGAGGAAUACCGGUGGCGAAGGCGACUUUCUGGACAGUAACUGACGCUGAGGCACGAAAGCGUGGGUAGCAAACAGG
rnacentral:rRNA from 1 species